rnacentral:rRNA from 1 species
GCACGGGUGCGUAACGCGUGGGAGUCUGCCCUUUGCUUCGGAAUAACAGUUAGAAAUGACUGCUAAUACCGGAUGAUGUCUUCGGACCAAAGAUUUAUCGGCAAAGGAUGAGCCNNNNUAGGAUUAGGUAGUUGGUGGGGUAAAGGCCUACCAAGCCGACGAUCCUUAGCUGGUCUGAGAGGAUGAUCAGCCACACUGGGACUGAGACACGGCCCAGACUCCUACGGGAGGCAGCAGUGGGGAAUAUUGGACAAUGGGCGAAAGCCUGAUCCAGCAAUGCCGCGUGAGUGAUGAAGGCCUUCGGGUCGUAAAGCUCUUUUACCAGGGAUGAUAAUGACAGUACCUGGAGAAUAAGCUCCGGCUAACUCCGUGCCAGCAGCCGCGGUAAUACGGAGGGAGCUAGCGUUGUUCGGAAUUACUGGGCGUAAAGAGUACGUAGGCGGCUAUUCAAGUCAGAGGUGAAAGCCCGGGGCUCAACCCCGGAACUGCCUUUGAAACUAGAUAGCUAGAAUCUUGGAGAGGUCAGUGGAAUCCCGAGUGUAGGGGUGAAAUUCGUAGAUAUUCGGAAGAACACCAGUGGCGAAGGCGACUGACUGGACAAGUAUUGACGCU